rnacentral:lncRNA from 1 species
UAACUGUCAGGCCAUAUUAAGCCACAGUACGGAAGAAGCUGUGCUGCCUGUGAGCCCCGUCCAAGGACGUUAAAAGAAGAAGUCAGGCCCCAAAGCCACGGUUUGAGCAAACCGUGCUGCCUGUAGCUCCGUCGUGGGGACGUAAAAACCUGGGAGGCUGCAAACCGUGGAAGCUGUACGCACGGUGUAGCAGACUAGCGGUUAGAGGAGACCCCUCCCAUGACACAACGCAGCAGCGGGGCCCGAGCACUGAGGGAAGCUGUACCUCCUUGCAAAGGACUAGAGGUUAGAGGAG